ensembl:lncRNA
GUGAAGACAGAGAGCAGCAGCUUCCAUCUUUACUGAGCAGAAACACAGCAGGAAAGUUGAACGUUGCUUCUUUCAAACAUCCACUUACAGUCAAUUUAUCAGAGACAAGCUUUAGUUAAAGACAUUAGAAACAAGACUAGUGAGGGAGGCCACCAAGACAACUAUGACUCCUCUGAAGGACUUAUAUAUUGUAGAUUCUCCCUGAAGGUGUCAAAACUAGUUUUUAAAUGUGCAGUGAAGGUAAUAAUGAAUGUGUUGAUGUUUAAAUGCUGCAUAUCUGCGAUAAAUAACAGGGAGUUUUUAUCUUGUGUUUAGAUGAAGUUAAAGGUGAUAAAUGGAACCUGUGAGUAUUAAGAACAGAGAAUAACAAACUGCUGAAACAGUUGGUCUGUGCUUCUGUCAGUGAAAGCUAAACAGGAAGUAGUUGGUUUAAAUAUCGGCAGAAUGAGAAGAGCUUUAAAUGUCAGAGUCUCCAAAACACCGGAGAAAGUUGCUGAUUUGUCGUUGAUCGCUGUUGACAAAAGAUAAAUAAAUUUAAAAAGUCACCAGGAGGAUUUGGAAAGUUGCCAGAUUUAGGGAAAACGUAGCCCAGUUUGCAUCAGUUGUUGGACGGCUUUCAGUUCGUGAACUGGUUCCAUCUGAAGUCACGUGAUUUAAAAGAAUCAGAGAAGUGAAGCUCCGCCUGCUGCUCUAUCAGCUCUGGAGAGUUUACAGAGUUUCUGCCAGAUGUGUGUCUUCUUUACUCUGCUGCUCCUCACAGAUUCGACUCUAAAAUAAUAAUCAGUAAAUAACAUUAAUGUGUGUCUGCUGGUUAAACUUUGGGUUUUUUUAAUUGAAUAUUUGUACCAGACUACCAGGAUCAGAGGAAGAAGACGGUAAAAUGUCUGCUGGAACAUCUGAGUUAUUCUGUCUGAUCGCCUGUUUCCUGGUUUGUUCCUCUGAAGCUCAGAAAAUCAUCACAGCUGCUCUUGGACAGGAUGUCAUUCUACAACAACAUCAGAGCUGUAGAGUGGAGCAGACCUGAAAUGCAAUCAGAAUAUGUUCUGUUCUACCGAGAUGGACGCUUAGAUCCAUACAACCAGCAUCCAUCUUAUAAGAACCGGGUGGAUCUGCAGGACAAAGAGAUGAAGGACGGAGACUUUUCUCUGAUUCUGAGGAAUGUGACGAUGGAGGACAAUGGAACAUACGAGUGUCGUGUUUUUGAGAAAGGAAAGAUUGAUCCCAUCAGCAAUAUCAUCCUGGAAGUUCAUCUAUCAGGAGACAAGAGUGGAAUCAUUGGAGAUGGAGAAGACAAGGAUGGAGGGAACAAGGAUGGAGGGAACAAGGAUGGAGGAGACAGGAAUGGAGGAGAUAAGGAUGGAGGAGACAAGGUUGGAAUCAUUGUAGGAGCAGCAGUGGGUGUGAUUCUUCUUCUUGCUGUGGCUUUGGUUGCUUUUCUGAUCUGUAGACGACACACGAGGAAGAAUCCCGACCUCCCAGUUCCUCCUGAUGAUGAAGCAGCAGCUGAACAGAUGUUAUGAAACAAAGACGUGAAAGUUUUUCUGGACAGCAGCAGAACAAAGCACAGCUUCUGUAACUCUGAUGGAACCAGCAGCAGCAGAACAAAGAGAAUCCAGGUGUGGACCAACCAUGUGGUCUCUCCUUUAACUGCCACCUUAUGGUGGUGGAGGGUUUGUGAGCUCAGAGGAUGCUGGGAGAUCUGCUGUCUGGAGUUCAGCUCCUGGUAGAGUUUCUAUUGGCAGACUGGUCCAGAAACAUCAAGUCCUCCCAACAUCUCCAUCAUCUAGAUUUAUCCUGUGGAUUGUUGCUGCUGCUGCUGCUGCUGGUCUUCAUCAACUUUUCUACUCUGUUGGUUUGUCUGGAAAUAAAUGUGUUCCAAAGCUCUGCAUGUUAGAACCUGAUGAAAUGUUGUGGAUGUAAAGUGUUCUGUCAGAUGAGAUCAGAACCACAUAGAAAAGUUCUGAUUGUCCAGAAUGAAGCACAAGUGAUGAACAGAACUUUAGAUUGAACUUGUUUUAAUGUUUUAUCUGUCAGCAGCUCUGAUGAUGUUCUCAACUGUUUACAGGGUAAAGGUGCAGAUAAUAUUAUGUAUUUUAGAUAUAUUUUAUCCUGCCUACCUGAACUGGUGAAAACUGUGUGGCAAAAUGCCUCAUAGCGCCCCCUACACUUUCCUACAGGCAGCACGUUUCACCUACAACCUCCAGAUUUGGUCAGCAUUUGCAGCACAUCAGGCUUAAUAAAACAGUCAGUCGUGGCCAUGUUCUAAACCCAACAGGAAGUCCACCAUUUGAUCAUGUUCAACAACGAAUUCCUCCUAGAGGGGAACUCCAAGAACAUUCAGAUUUGGUCAGUAGGACGUAGUGAUGAAAAGUUAUCAAAACCUUCUGCAUCAGUAAAAGGGCCAUGGACAUUUUAAACACUAUUUGAGCUUUAGUAUGUUCCUAAGACCUGUCUGUGUCAUUUAGCCUCCUUAUAAACACAUUAUAGCUGUGAAAAUUCUCUAUGUUCACAUGUACUGUUUAUAUAAACUUUGUGCCAUAAUCCUUGAAAUUGGUACAGUGAAGACCUGUUCAAUGCUGUUUGCAGCUUUAAUAUGUUUUGUUGUUAAUCUGCAGAUAAAUGUAGUCCAGUAAAAUAACAUUGUUUGCUACUGAACUGUAGUGAAGGUUGAAUAGAAUAAACAGAAUUUAAACUGAUAGAAUGAACUGAGUUACUUCACAGACAGGAUUGUUUAUGUUUUAACACACUGGAAAUAAUGAACUUUACUGUAAAUAAUGAACUUUACUGUAAAUAAUGAACUUUGCUGUAAAUAAUGAACUUUACUGUAAAUAAUGAACUUUACUGUAAAUAAUGAACUUUGCUGUAAAUAAUGAACUUUACUGUAAAUAAUGAACUUUACUGUAAAUAAUGAACUUUACUGUAAAUAAUGAACUUUACUGUAAAUAAUGAACUUUACUGCUGUUUGACUGUCUUUGUUCUUUGUUGUCUAAUAAAGGUUGUUUCCCCAGAUUGUGAUCCUGCUGGUUCAUGUCUGACUACAACCUGUUGAACUGGUUCAGAACAAACAUAGAUCAGG